GCUUUGAGUGAUGAUGAUUUGAUUUUACACAUAUUCUCUAGCUUAGGUCCAAAUUAUGACUCUGUUGCUACAUAUAUAACUAGACAAGUAGGUAUUGGGAAAAUGAAUGUAAAUGAAACUUAUACCAUGCUUUUAAC
rnacentral:snoRNA from 1 species